rnacentral:rRNA from 1 species
CUAGAUGAAUUUGGUGCUUGCACCAAAUGAAACUAGAUACAAGCGAGCGGCGGACGGGUGAGUAACACGUGGGUAACCUGCCCAAGAGACUGGGAUAACACCUGGAAACAGAUGCUAAUACCGGAUAACAACACUAGACGCAUGUCUAGAGUUUAAAAGAUGGUUCUGCUAUCACUCUUGGAUGGACCUGCGGUGCAUUAGCUAGUUGGUAAGGUAACGGCUUACCAAGGCAAUGAUGCAUAGCCGAGUUGAGAGACUGAUCGGCCACAUUGGGACUGAGACACGGCCCAAACUCCUACGGGAGGCAGCAGUAGGGAAUCUUCCACAAUGGACGCAAGUCUGAUGGAGCAACGCCGCGUGAGUGAAGAAGGGUUUCGGCUCGUAAAGCUCUGUUGGUAGUGAAGAAAGAUAGAGGUAGUAACUGGCCUUUAUUUGACGGUAAUUACUUAGAAAGUCACGGCUAACUACGUGCCAGCAGCCGCGGUAAUACGCAGGUGGCAAGCGUUGUCCGGAUUUAUUGGGCGUAAAGCGAGUGCAGGCGGUUCAAUAAGUCUGAUGUGAAAGCCUUCGGCUCAACCGGAGAAUUGCAUCAGAAACUGUUGAACUUGAGUGCAGAAGAGGAGAGUGGAACUCCAUGUGUAGCGGUGGAAUGCGUAGAUAUAUGGAAGAACACCAGUGGCGAAGGCGGCUCUCUGGUCUGCAACUGACGCUGAGGCUCGAAAGCAUGGGUAGCGAA